AAUAUCAUACAUUAAAAUCCCACCUGAUCUCAACAUGGGCAGUUGUAUGGAAGAAAAGGAGGAGAAAUGAAAGCAUUCUGUUGGGGACCUCAUGCAGACCUUUUUGUGACAAAAUGUGGAGGUAUGAUUAAUUCUACAUCUUGAUAGAAAAAUUUAGUAUUUAAUUUGCUUAGUGCAAACUCAUGAGAGGACUCAGAAUUUUUUUAAAAUAGCAUGAAAAACUUUUAAAUAAUUGUAGUCCAAAGAAGGGGAAGGAGGAGGAAAUGAAGAAGGAGUAGGAAGAGAGGGAAGAAGAGGAGGAACAAAUAAGAGAACAUCAUAAAUAAAUAGCAAAUCUGGGUAGCAAAAACAAGUGUUAAUACAGAACAUUAAAUGUGAAUUGAUUAAAUAAAUGAAAUUUACCUUUUAAAAAACCAUUUAUUUUGAUUUAAAAAUUCAAUCAGAUGCUGUUUAUAAAGGACACAACUAAAAUAAAAAUUGCAGUGUGAUUGAAAAUAGAUUAAAAAUUUAAAAUCUGACAGAACUUUCCCAUGUACAUAUAUGAAUAUGUACCAAUAAAACUUCGUAUCAUGUACAACCACAGGAACGGGAACCUCAUUAGAAUAAGUUAUACUUCAUGUAUACAUAAUAUGUCAAAAUAUACUCUACUGUCAUAUAUAUCUAAAAAUAAUAAAUAAAAACUUAUGCUUGGGCUGGGAUUGUGGCUCAGUGGUAGAGCGCUCGCCUAGCACGUGUGAGGCCCUGAGUUUGAUCCUCAACACCACAUAAAAAUAAAUAAAUAAAAUAAAGAUAUUGGUCCAACUAAAAAUAAAUAUUGAAAAAAACAUAUGCUAAUGCUUACAGAAAAAUAAAACAAAUGUAGAAGUUGUAAUAUCAGAAAAACUGAAUUCAAGAGAAAAGCUUGGCAAGGUUCAGAGGAAGAUAUUUGACACUGAUUACCCACCAACAUAAUAGAAGCACAUGAAGCUCUCUGUACCUAAGAGCAUAGCUCAGAAAUAGAAUGAAAUGUGACAUUCACAUGGGGAGAAAUUGUCAGAGGUUUGAAACCAUUUCUCUCAAAGUAUCAACAUACUGGGUGUGGAAUUUCCUUUAAGUAGGCCAAAAAGAAACAAAAAAUAAUAAUCUCAAUGAAUGGCAAAGAAUUGAAAUUAUGUACUCUACAUUGGCUGACCACAAUGAAAUAAAACAUUUUUUAAAAAUUUAAAAUGUAACUCAUUGGUAGAGCAUUGGUGGACCCACAAGACCCAGUUCAAUCCCCAGCAACACACACACACACAUUUAAUAAAUUGCUAAUACAGCUGGUCUCAGUGUGCAUGCCUGUAAUCCCAGCAGUUUGGGAGGCUGAGACAGGAGGAUUACCAGUUUAAAGCCAGCCUCAGCAACAGCAAGGCUGUUGCAAUUUUGUGAGACCCUGUCUCUAAAUAAAAUACAAAAUAGGGCUGGGGUUGUGGCUGAGUUCAAAUCCCCCUCCCCCAAAAAAUUGCUAAUACAAAGGCAUUCUUUGUUUGGAAACCUAAAAUAUUUUUAAAAAUAAUUUGUGAAAUUCUAAAUUCUAGAGUAAUGACAGAGUAGUGUUCUAAUUCUAACCUUUCUACCAAUAACAACGGUAAGCUCAAUACAACUGUUUAGAGUCACUAAAGAGUCACGAAAAACUGGCAGAAGCUAGAAGGAAAUUGGUCAUUGAAAGAGGAGAAGUGGUGAGUUCCAUACUGACCCAGCUUUGUUCCUGAGGGCAAGUGCCAGUUUACACUGGGGGAGAGAGUUUAAACAGCAAAUGACAAUCUUACUGGGCUGGGAAGACACACAUUGGGGUUUGAAGCAAUCACAGUUUAAUAAAUAUAAUAAAAUUCUAACAAUUUAGGGGAACUAUCUCAAAAAAGGAAGCAUCUUUAGAAACAAAACCAAAAUCUGCUUUAAAAUCGCCCUUCAAUCCUUGACUGAUUCUCUAAUCUGGGCAAGUCUCCCAGAGACUCAUUGAGAAGAAAUAGCUGGAAGGCUAAAAAAAAUGUUGAGCAGCGAAUCCAGCAAUUGUCCUGAAAUUGAGAGACAGCUUGGAGUUCCAAUUCUACCAAAUUAGGGAUUUGGAAUGCCAGUUAAUUUUAUUAAUUUUAUGUCAAUAUGGCUGUUCCACAGUGCCUGGUGUGCAUUAUUUUGGAUGUUUCCAUGAGAGUGUUUGUGGAUGAGAUUUUUAUUUAAAUUAGUGGACUUUGAAAGUAAAGCACAUUGCCCUCCAUAAUGUCACUGGGCUUGGUCUAAUCAGUUGAAGAUCCAGAUAGAACAAGACUGAUCUCCCCUGAUGAAGAAGAAAUUAUGCAGUAGAUGACCUUCAGACCUGAACUGCAAUAUGAACUCUUUCUGGAUCUUUAGCCUGCCACCCACCAUGCAGAGUUAGUACUUCAAGCCUCUGUAAUUGUGUAAGCUGAUUCCUUAAAAUAAAUCUUUUUAUAUAAAUAAGUCCUGUUUGUUCUGUUAUUUU
rnacentral:lncRNA from 1 species